GACUAACCCAGUGAAGAGGGUUCAUUGUGACAGAGUGAAGGUUUAACAUUUGAAACGAGGCGUCUUCAUCCACAACGAGACUCAUUUAACCACGUUACAAUAAUAAUGACUUCAGCUCUUAUUGCAGUGAAGACGAUCAAAGUCAAGUAAAGCCUGAGUCUAAAUGAGUCAUUUAUUAACUUAAUAUAUUCUCCUCUUUAACGUUUUAAUGUGUGGAAUCGGCGUGUUUAUGAGACUUUACGCUACUAGAAGUACAGACGGAGACGCUCUUAAUCAGCGUAAUGAGACACUUCUGUGGACAGGAAGUGAAGAAGACAAAUAUCCAGCAGUGUGAAAAGGAACAACUAAUGAAAUGUGAACAUUCAUCAGCAUCACGCUCAUCAGGGGGAGUUCAUCCCGACCCGCUUCCCGAUUCACCCGACACGUCUUCACACAUCAAGAGACGUCCUCCUCCUGUGGACGGGGACCAUCAGAGGAGGCUCCAGGCCGACGGCUCCUCCUCUGGGGAGCAGCAUCCCGAAGUGACCCCUCUGUCCCCGUGAGGCCCCUCCGUCCCCGUGAGGCCCCUCCGUCCCCGUGAGGCCCCUCCGUCCCUGUGCUGCCCCUCCGUCCCCGUGAGGCCCCUCCGUCCCCGUGAGGCCCCUCCGUCCCCGUGAGGCCCCUCCGUCCCUGUGCUGCCCCUCCGUCCCCGUGAGGCCCCUCCGUCCCCGUGGGGCCCCUCCGUCCCCGUGAGGCCCCUCCGUCCCCGUGAGGCCCCUCCGUCCCCGUGGGGCCCCUCACCUUAUGUUAGACGCCUUCAUGGGCCGCAGCACACUGUAUCAACACACACAUACAGUCACUCAUCUUUUAGGGUUUCUUUAUUAUUUUGUCUGUUUUCAUGAAGUUCUCGGAUUUAUAAAUUAUUUUUCGGUAAUUAAAAAAAAUGUUUUUUCGUUAUUUCUGUGAUUUUCCAUUAUUUUGAUGUUUUGGGGAAUUCUUCCCGUUUCAUAUCAUUUUAUAUAUUUUGGCGAUUUUGGCUUUUUGAAUAAUUUUGUCUGUUUUCUUUGUUUCUCUGUUGUUUUUGCAUCAUUUUGUAUUUUUUGUCUGUUUUUGUCUCUUUCAUCAUUUUGUAUUUAUAAUUUGUAGAGAUAUUGGAGCAGCUUCAAGGCUGGAAAAAUCGGGGGGACUUUUUACUCAGAGAUUGAUGACGGCACCUCAACUGGAUCCUCCAACUCUAAGUUUCUGUCAGCAGAGGAGGAGGUUUGUGUGAGGUCGUCCGCCUCCCCACGACUCCCAUGUGACUCCCUCCAACUGUCUGCUUUCCUUAAGCCGUUUCCCAGAAGCCUCUCUGACACCCCCCCCCCCCCCCCAUGAGGAUCCGAGGAGGAGCGGCGGAAGUUAUUGUGAGGUCUCCAGUCCGCCUGCAGGUCCGCCCGCUGGUUUUCACAUUAGCCUCCUCCUGCUCCUGCUCCUCCUUUGUCCUCCUGCUCCUGGUCCUUCUGCUCCUGGUCCUCCUUUGUCCUCCUGCUCCUGGUCCAGCUUCUUCCUGAGCUUCACGACUCAUUACAAACUCACCAGGAGCUAAAGUUAGCCUGUUGUCAGAUCACCUUCAGGCUGACCCGGGACCAGCUGGAGGGGGACGUCCACCAAAGAGUCAAUGUGAGGACUACAGAGGGACAACAUCCUAAAAGUAACACUUAUUGUUGUUUAUCAACCCCUGCUGGUCACUACAGAGAAGUAGAGUCAUUUCCUCAUAGACGUCUAUGGGAGCAGAGGAGUCGCCCCCUGCUGGUCACUACAGAGAAGUAGAGUCAUUUCCUCAUAGACGUCUAUGGGAGCAGAGGAGUCGCCCCCUGCUGGUCACUACAGAGAAGUAGAGUUAUUUCCUCAUAGACGUCUAUGGGAGCAGAGGAGCCGCCCCCUGCUGGUCACUACAGAGAAGUAGAGUCAUUUCCUCAUAGACGUCUAUGGGAGCAGAGGAGUCGCCCCCUGCUGGUCACUACAGAGAAGUAGAGUCAUUUCCUCAUAGACGUCUAUGGGAGCAGAGGAGUCGCCCCCUGCUGGUCACUACAGAGAAGUAG
ensembl:lncRNA